rnacentral:rRNA from 1 species
AACGAACGCUGGCGGCGCGCCUAAUACAUGCAAGUCGAGCGAGAAGGUGUAGCAAUACACUUGUAAAGCGGCGAACGGGUGAGGAAUACAUGGGUAACCUACCCUCGAGUGGGGAAUAACUAGCCGAAAGGUUAGCUAAUACCGCAUACGAUUCCAGGACUUCGGUCCUGGAAGGAAAGCACUACCGUGGGUAGUGCGCUCCUGGAUGGGCUCAUGUCCUAUCAGCUUGUUGGGAGGUAAAGGCUCACCAAGGCUUCGACGGGUAGCUGGUCUGAGAGGACGAUCAGCCACACUGGCACUGCGACACGGGCCAGACUCCUACGGGAGGCAGCAGUAAGGAAUAUUGCGCAAUGGGCGAAAGCCUGACGCAGCGACGCCGCGUGGGGGAUGAAGGUCUUCGGAUUGUAAACCCCUUUCGGGAGGGAAGAGGGAAUGGGCAACCCAUUCGGACGGUACCUCCAGAAGCAGCCACGGCUAACUUCGUGCCAGCAGCCGCGGU